ACAAACUUGGUCAUUUAGAGGAAGUAAAAGUCGUAACAAGGUUUCCGUAGGUGAACCUGCGGAAGGAUCAUUAUUGAAUAAACUUGGUUAGGUUGUUGCUGGCUCCUUUCCGGGGCAUGUGCACGCCGACUCCAUUUUCAACCCCUGUGCACCUUUUGUAGACCUGAAUAACUCGAGUGGUGUAACUACUUACUUGGUCAGAGAAUUGCUGUGCGAAAGUCAGCUUUUCUUGUAGUUUGGGUCUACGCUUCACAUAAACUCCUUUAGAAUGUAUCGGAAUGUUCCAAAUAGGCCCUCGUGCCUUUAAAAAUAAAUACAACUUUCAACAACGGAUCUCUUGGCUCUCGCAUCGAUGAAGAACGCAGC
rnacentral:misc_RNA from 1 species